AUGGAGACGCCGCCGCCGUUCCAGGAGUCGGCCCACUGCGACGUCUGCCGCUGCACCUUCUCCACUUUCCGCCGCCGCCACCACUGCCGCAGCUGCGGGAGGACGCUCUGCCACGAGCACUCUUCGUACCACAUGGCCCUGCCGCAGUACGGGAUAUACACGGACGCCAGGGUCUGCUACGAGUGCUUCAACAAAUCAUCAUCCAGACGCGGGGGUGUUGAUAACGCGAGUUCUGCCGGGAGCGUUUCGGGUGCUGCAGACUCCUUUUCAGGGCUGAAUUUGGAUAAAGAUGAUGAUUCGUUGCCCACGAGAAGUUCAGCGGUUCAGACUCCAGUUGCCGUUAUCGAGUGCAAAUGCGGGAUGCCUUUGUGCAUAUGCGAGGCACCAAAACCUGAACCUGCGCCUGUAAAGAAUAUCAGUGCCGCUUCGUCAACUGCACAAUCAAACCCAAAGCCUAAAAAACCUUCUAGCAACCAGCAGUCAUCUGAAUCAAGCUUGAAGAAGGCUUCAGCUACUUCCAGCAGCAACUCAAGCUCAUUCUUAAAUCUUGGCCUGAUGAGCAACGACAGCAAUGAUAAGACUCCGUCUGACUAUGAAGUUACUGGAGAGGGACUGAGAGAAGCGAUUAAGGGUGGGGAUAUUAAAGCUGUGAAGAAACUUCUUAGCCAGGGAGUCGAUUCUAACUACUGCGACAAGCAAGGAUUCACUUUGCUACAUUUGGCUGCGCUAUUUAACCAGACUGAGAUUGCUCUUAUUCUCAUGGAUAGUGGAGCCAAUAUUCAACGCAAAAAUGGGCAAGGGGAAACUCCUUUGGAUUGUGCCCCGCCCAUGCUGCAGUACAAAAUGCGGCAGAGGGUGGAAGAGCUUGCUGCGUCACAAAGACCUGUAUGA
rnacentral:rRNA from 1 species